rnacentral:rRNA from 1 species
UACAGAGGUCCCAAGCGUUGUUCGGAUUCACUGGGCGUAAAGGGUGCGUAGGUGGUGAGGUAAGUCGGAUGUGAAAUCUCCGAGCUCAACUCGGAAAUGGCAUUGGAAACUACCUUGCUAGAGGGUUGGAGGGGGGGGACUGGAAUACUUGGUGUAGCAGUGAAAAUGCGUAGAUAUCAAGUGGAACACCAGUGGCGAAGGCGAGUCCCUGGACAACUCCUGACACUGAGGCACGAAAGCUAGGGGAGCAAACAGG